rnacentral:rRNA from 1 species
UACGAAGGGAGCUAGCGUUGUUCGGAAUCACUGGGCGUAAAGCGCACGUAGGCGGAUUUGCCAGUCAGGGGUGAAAUCUCGGGGCUCAACCUCGGAACUGCCUUUGAUACAGCAAGUCUUGAGUUCGAGAGAGGUGGGUGGAAUUCCUAGUGUAGAGGUGAAAUUCGUAGAUAUUAGGAAGAACACCGGUGGCGAAGGCGGCCCACUGGCUCGACACUGACGCUGAGGUGCGAAAGCGUGGGGAGCAAACAGG